UACGAACCGUACGAACGUUAUUCGGAAUCACUGGGCUUAAAGGGUUUGUAGGCGGCCUUGUAAGUGGGGUGUGAAAUCCCUCGGCUCAACCGAGGAAUAGCGCUCCAAACUGCAAGGCUUGAGGGAGACAGGGGUAAGCGGAACUGAUGGUGGAGCGGUGAAAUGCGUUGAUAUCAUCAGGAACACCGGUGGCGAAAGCGGCUUACUGGGUCUCUUCUGACGCUGAGGAACGAAAGCUAGGGUAGCGAACGGG
rnacentral:rRNA from 1 species